GAAACCAAUAUGGCUGCUGUUUGUGCUGUGUCGUCUGCCCAAUCAUAAUCCGUUAAAAUGGUCAGGUCUUGCUGUUCCAUAAACUGUGUUAAUCGUGACAUCCCAGAAAUUAAAAAAAAGGAAUAACUUUCCAUAGUAGGCUAUUCCAAUAGCACCAGAGAGGCGACAGAAAUGGCUCCAUGCAAUUAACAGAAUUGAACCUACCACUAAAACAUUAUGGCAGCCAAAGAAUAACUAUGCAGUAAUAUGCUCCGAACAUUUUAAACCAGAAGAUUUUUCAUUAUCGAAACAUGGUGCAUAUAGACUUCUUUCUCCAAACAGUGUACCAUCAAUAUUUUCUUGGAAGAAAGAACCAACAUCGCAGACAAGUACACGAGAUUCCCACACCAGUAAAAAAAGCGUUAGAAAAUGAUGUAAUUGUAUCAGUCACAAGAACAACUCCUGACAGCAAGGUGAAGCAGAGUAUAAAAUCCGACCAUUCAUAUACUUUAAGCACAGAUGAAUUACGAACGAAAUACCAAGUUACGAAACAUCAAUUAGAAGAAACACAACAAGAACUACUCAACACAAAACUUCGCGAAAAAAGGGCAAAGACAGCAAUAGGGAGCAUACUAAGUCAGCUAACCGAUGCAAGAAAAUUAUCAGAAAACAGUCAAAAAAUGAUUGAUUUUUAUAAAGAUAUUUCGGUUGAUUUGUUUAGUAAACCAGCGUCUGAAUUUUCGGAUGAUACAAAGACGUUUUCUACAACACUGUAUUUUUAUGGUCCAAAAGCAUAUAAUUAUUUUAGAGAAAAUGUCAACUUACCACACCCAUCAACUAUUAGAAGGGUUUUAAUAAUGAACCGGAUGACAAGUUGGGAAAUAUUUACACCGCUGAUGGUAUGGAUAUUGAUUGCCUGGUCUAGACUUUGUAUUACAUACUGAAGUCAAAAGAAUUGCUAACACCUGGGGAUGUGUUACAACACGUCCUAAA